rnacentral:rRNA from 1 species
AUUGAACGCUGGCGGCAUGCCUUACACAUGCAAGUCGAACGGCAGCGGGGGAGAAGCUUGCUUUUCCUGCCGGCGAGUGGCGAACGGGUGAGUAAUACAUCGGAACGUGCCCUGUAGUGGGGGAUAACUAGUCGAAAGAUUAGCUAAUACCGCAUACGACCUGAGGGUGAAAGUGGGGGACCGCAAGGCCUCAUGCUAUAGGAGCGGCCGAUGUCUGAUUAGCUAGUUGGCGGGGUAAAGGCCUACCAAGGCGACGAUCAGUAGCUGGUCUGAGAGGACGAUCAGCCACACUGGGACUGAGACACGGCCCAGACUCCUACGGGAGGCAGCAGUGGGGAAUUUUGGACAAUGGGCGAAAGCCUGAUCCAGCAAUGCCGCGUGUGUGAAGAAGGCCUUCGGGUUGUAAAGCACUUUUGUCCGGAAAGAAAUGGCUCUGGUUAAUACCUGGGGUCGAUGACGGUACCGGAAGAAUAAGGACCGGCUAACUCCGUGCCAGCCGCCGCCGUAA